rnacentral:lncRNA from 1 species
UAAUGCUGGUUCUGGGGGACCGAGAAGAAUUCAGGCGCCUGAAGGAUGUCCUUUGUGUCUUACAAAUCGUGUGUGGUGGAGCCUUCUCGGAGCGUAGAUGAAUAUUUCCUUCAAAUCAGUCAACCCUUCUUGUUCUUUGCAUUUAUUAAUGGAAACGCUCUCCGCUGCAGGGGUGAAAAGAGUGGUUUUAGACGCCACAGGCCUCCAGGGGCCAGGCAGGAAGCGGGGACAUGGGCGUCGAUGACAUGGGCGUCCCAGUCUCACAUCUCCCCAGUCUGCGAAGCUGAGUGCCCUCCUGCCCUCCACCUGGGAGCCUCGGCACUCACAGACCUGGCUCUGCCUGAAAGGGGUUUGGGGCGACAGUGGCUGCAUAGGUGGCAUGCACUCUAUUUCUACUGGAUGGCGCUGCUCUAG